rnacentral:rRNA from 1 species
AUUGAACGCUGGCGGCAGGCCUAACACAUGCAAGUCGAGCGCGCGGCGGACGGGUGUGUAUUGUAUGGGGACUGCCCGCUAGAGGGGGAUAACUACUGGAAACGGUGGCUCAUACAGCAUACUGUCUCAUAACCCAUAUGGGAUUAGCUAGUAGGUAAGGUAAGGGCUUACCUAGGCGACGAUCCCUAGCUGGUCUGAGAGGAUGAUCAGCCACACUGGGACUGAGACACGGCCCAGACUCCUACGGAGGCAGCAGUGGGGAAUAUUGCACAAUGGGCGCAAGCCUGAUGCAGCCAUGCCGCGUGUAUGAAGAAGGCCCUAGGGUUGUAAAGUACUUUCAGUCGGGAGGCGUUACCGACAGAAGAAGCACCGGCUAACUCCGUGCCAGCAGCCGCGGUAAUAC